GUGAUCCUCCCACCUCAGCCUCCCCAGUAGCUGGGACUACAGAUUUUUCCAAUUGCUUUCAAGUAUGGCGGCUUGCCUUCACCUCGAGUACCUAAUCCAGGAACUUAGUCUUCCACCUGCACCGUCUCUAAUCUGUGAAACUGGAAGGUGAUGUUUUUGUCGGCCCAGCAUCACUCCCCUCAUUCCUUCGGUAAAAAUCUCCAUCCCUCUGGCUACAGAGGUGGGCACACAGCCCAGAAUGAGCCAAUCACAGUAACUCAUCUCCCACCAGGGUUUUCUAUUUUGAAGCCAGAGAGGAAACUUCCUGCCUCUCUGGAGUAUGUGAGCCAGGAAAUGCCAUGUCCUCACCAAGGGGAGAAAAGCUGAUGUGCAGAGAGGCACAGAUAGACGGUACUGAGUAACGGUUCAGGAAGAGCACCUUCCUCCUGUACCCCUCUUUGUUUUUCUUAAGAAGCUUGAAUUAGAUUUGUCCCUUGGAAUCCACGUUUAUGUGGUGGCUAAAAAUUUUGUAGAGACUUGGGUGGAAAAGCUGUCUCUAUUAAUUAAUAGUGAGACCUGAGGUGAGGCACUAAACCUAGUUAGGCCCCAGUUCCCUCACUGAUAAAUGGGGAUAUGUUGUGGAUGAAAUGAGAUGAUGAACUUAAAAGCAUUUAGCACAUAGUUUGUGUGCAGUAGGAUGUAGCUGUUAUUAGGGCAAGUGAGAGGAGAAAAGCAAUUAGACUGACGAGAAGCCCCCUUCACAUCCCUUUAAUCACCACGGCUCUGUACUCCUGUCACAAUGAAGCCUGGGAUUUCCCUUACAAUAUAUCACAAAGAAAAACAGAGCAUGAAUAAAUGUGGCAAAGUCUUGAUAACUGUUGAGCAGAUAAGAAUUCAUCUAUUGGUCUUUUUAACAAUUUUUAUGGUCUUUUUUAAAGAAAGAUCUGUUGAGAUUAUCAUCGUUUCUCCUUUGGUCUUUCUGACGUGGUAAAUUGAUUUUCAAGUGUUGGGCCAAAUUUGCAUUCCUGGAGUAGGCCCCGCUUGACUGUGAAGUGUUGUUCUUCUGGGAAUAACUGAAUUUGGCUUGCUAGUGUUUUGUUUGGGGUUCUUUUGGAGUAGACUGCCCAUGGUUUUUGUCUUGUGGUAUCUGAGCCAAGUGUUAGUGUUGGGGUUGUGUUUCAAGGGAUGAGUUGGAUGAUACUGUAUUUUCCUUUUUUCUGCUCUCUGGAAGAAUUUGUGUGGGACUGGUGCUGUUUCCUCCUUAGAUGUUUUGACCUAAGUAGUGAUUACACUUCAGUUUAAAUCCU